rnacentral:tRNA from 1 species
GGGCCCGUAGAUCAGUCUGGAAGAUCGUCCGCUUGGCAUGCGGGAGGCCUCGGGUUCAAAUCCCGACGGGUCCA